rnacentral:rRNA from 1 species
AGAGUUUGAUCCUGGCUCAGAUUGAACGCUGGCGGCAGGCCUAACACAUGCAAGUCGAGCGGUAGAGAGAAGCUUGCUUCUCUUGAGAGCGGCGGACGGGUGAGUAAUACCUAGGAAUCUGCCUGAUAGUGGGGGAUAACGUUCGGAAACGGACGCUAAUACCGCAUACGUCCUACGGGAGAAAGCAGGGGACCUUCGGGCCUUGCGCUAUCAGAUGAGCCUAGGUCGGAUUAGCUAGUUGGUGAGGUAAUGGCUCACCAAGGCUACGAUCCGUAACUGGUCUGAGAGGAUGAUCAGUCACACUGGAACUGAGACACGGUCCAGACUCCUACGGGAGGCAGCAGUGGGGAAUAUUGGACAAUGGGCGAAAGCCUGAUCCAGCCAUGCCGCGUGUGUGAAGAAGGUCUUCGGAUUGUAAAGCACUUUAAGUUGGGAGGAAGGGCAUUAACCUAAUACGUUAGUGUCUUGACGUUACCGACAGAAUAAGCACCGGCUAACUCUGUGCCAGCAGCCGCGGUAAUACAGAGGGUGCAAG